rnacentral:rRNA from 1 species
GAUGAACGCUAGCUAUAGGCUUAACACAUGCAAGUCGAGGGGAAACGGCAUUAUGUGCUUGCACAUUUUGGACGUCGACCGGCGCACGGGUGAGUAUCGCGUAUCCAACCUGCCCUUUACUUGGGGAUACCCCGUUGAAAGACGGCCUAAUACCCGGUGUAAUUCAUUGAUGGCAUCAGAUAUGAAUAAAAGAUUUAUCGGUAAAGGAUGGGGAUGCGUCUGAUUAGCUUGUUGGUGAGGUAAUGGCUCACCAAGGCGACGAUCAGUAGGGGUUCUGAGAGGAAGGUCCCCCACAUUGGAACUGAGACACGGUCCAAACUCCUACGGGAGGCAGCAGUGAGGAAUAUUGGUCAAUGGGCGCAAGCCUGAACCAGCCAAGUAGCGUGCAGGAAGACGGCCCUAUGGGUUGUAAACUGCUUUUAUACGAGAAUAAUUUGAUGCACGUGUGCGUUAUUGCAUGUAUCGUAUGAAUAAGGACCGGCUAAUUCCGUGCCAGCAGCCGCGGUAAUACGGAAGGUCCAGGCGUUAUCCGGAUUUAUUGGGUUUAAAGGGAGUGUAGGCGGUUUGUUAAGCGUGUUGUGAAAUUUAGGUGCUCAACAUUUAACUUGCAGCGCGAACUGUCAGACUUGAGUACACGCAACGUAUGCGGAAUUCAUGGUGUAGCGGUGAAAUGCUUAGAUAUCAUGAAGAACUCCGAUUGCGAAGGCAGCAUACGGGAGUGUAACUGACGCUUAAGCUCGAAGGUGCGGGUAUCGAACAGG